rnacentral:rRNA from 1 species
CAAUAGCAUAUAUUAACGUUGUUGCAGUUGAAAAGCUCGUAGUUGAACUUUUGGUAGGAGCGACCUGGCCUUGGGCGCAUGCCCUUGUUUGCCGUGUGUCGUGUCUGGCCAUCCUUUUCUUCUUUUUGGAAGGAAUCUUUUACUGUGAGUAAACUGGAGUGCUCAAAACAAGACGUUUGUUUGGUACAUUAAAGCAUGGAAUAAUAAGAUAGGACCUGGUUACUAUUUUGUUGGUUUGCAUAGCUAGGUAAUGAUUAACAGGGACAGUUGGGGGUAUUCGUAUUUAAUUGUCAGAGGUGAAAUUCUUGGAUUUAUGAAAGACGGACGACUGCGAAAGCAUUUACCAAGGAUGUUUUCAUUAA